GGAUCCCUACGGGAGGCAGCAGUGAGGAAUAUUGGUCAAUGGGCGAGAGCCUGAACCAGCCAAGCCGCGUGAGGGAAGACGGUCCUAUGGAUUGUAAACCUCUUUUGCCGGGGAGCAAGCCUGAGCACGUGUGCCCAGGCGGAGAGUACCCGGAGAAAAAGCAUCGGCUAACUCCGUGCCAGCAGCCGCGGUAAUACGGAGGAUGCGAGCGUUAUCCGGAUUUAUUGGGUUUAAAGGGUGCGCAGGCGGGCUGUUAAGCCGGCGGUAAAAAUUCAG
rnacentral:rRNA from 1 species